GCAGCAGGAAAAAGCAGAAAGUGCUUGUGCAGCUGGACACUCAGUCAGACAGCUCUGAGCACACUGACCUCCUGAGCAUAGUCUCGGAAGAAGAAACAUUUAAAAAUUUGUACAAAGAUUAUCCACAAGCUUCACAGUUACAUUCCACAGCACCAAAAAAGAGCCCAGCUCCAUGCAGUGUGAAAUCUCCAGGCUCUGCUCUGAAACUCAAAACCAUGAGGAGAAUGCGCGAGGC